rnacentral:misc_RNA from 1 species
GUACCCUCAAGCUCUGCUUGGUGUUGGGCGUUUGUCCCGCUUCGCGCGAGGACUCGCCUCAAAUCAAUUGGCAGCCGGCAGUCUGGUGUUUGAGCGCAGCACAUUUCGCGCUCUCCGCUGGACUGCGGCGUCCACAAGGCUACCAUCUAAC